rnacentral:tRNA from 1 species
UCCCUGCUGGCUCAGACGGUAAAGCGUCUGCCUGCAAUGCGGGAGACCCGGGUUUGAUUCCUGGGUCGGGAA